AACGUAGGAGACAAACGUUAUCCGGAGUUACUGGGCGUAAAGGGCGUGUAGGUGGUUUCGUAAGUCUGGCGUGAAAUUUCUCGGCUUAACCGAGGCAGGUCGUCGGAUACUGCGGAACUUGAGGACGGUAGAGGCGUGUGGAAUUCCGGGUGUAGUGGUGAAAUGCGUAGAGAUCCGGAGGAACACCAGUGGCGAAGGCGACACGCUGGGCCGCAACUGACGCUGAGGAGCGAAAGCAUGGGGAGCGAACAGG
rnacentral:rRNA from 1 species